UCGGGAAUUUUGGGCAAUGGGCGCAAGCCUGAUCCAGCCAUGCCGCGUGAGUGACGAAGGCCUUAGGGUUGUAAAGCUCUUUUGGCGGGGACGAUAAUGACGGUACCCGCAGAAUAAGCCCCGGCUAACUUCGUGCCAGCAGCCGCGGUAAUACGAAGGGGGCUAGCGUUGUUCGGAAUUACUGGGCGUAAAGCGCACGUAGGCGGAUUUGUCAGUCAGGGGUGAAAUCCCGAGGCUCAACCUCGGAACUGCCUCCGAUACAGCAAGUCUCGAGUCCGGAAGAGGUGAGUGGAAUUCCUAGUGUAGAGGUGAAAUUCGUAGAUAUCGGAAGGAACAUCAGUUGCGAAGGCGGCUCUCUGGACUCAAACUGACGCUGAGGCACGAAAGCGUGGGUAGCGAACAGGAUUAGAUACCCCUGUAGUCCCUGAGCGGGCUGGCAAGGCGCAU
rnacentral:rRNA from 1 species